CCCUUAGGUGUUCUGGGCCGCACGCGCGCUACACUGAUGCAUUCAACGAGUCUAAAACCUGCUCUGAUAGGGGUGGGUAAUCUUUUGAAUGUGCAUCGUGAUUGGGAUAGAUGAUUGCAAUUUUUCAUCUUCAACGAGGAAUGCCUAGUAAACGCAAGUCAUCAGCUUGCAUUGAUUACGUCCCUGCCCUUUGUACACACCGCCCGUCGCUCCUACCGAUUGAAUGAUCCGAUGAAUAUCAUGGAUUGAGGAUGUAAGCAGGUUCGCCUGUCUUCAUCUUCGAGAAGUGAAGUAAAUCUUAUCAUUUAGAGGAAGGAGAAGUCGUAACA
rnacentral:rRNA from 1 species